AGAGCCCUCCUCCCGCCUGCUCUGUGUAGGAGACAGCCUGCGGAGCCCACUGCCGGCGCGCAGAGAGCCCAGCAGCUCUUGAGUCCAGGAAGCAAGGGUGGGAGGAGGGACGAGCCAGUGGCAAUGACCCAGACCCGGACGACCCCCAUUGCUGAGCCAGCGGAGCUGCUUGGGUCCACGAGGCUGGUGUCAGACCUAUUGGGAGACCCUCUGCGUUAGUGAGAAAAACGGCAAGAAAUGGGAGCACGCGGAAACCUCCAAGACUAGAGCCACCAGAUGCCACCGACAGCACGCAGCUGGACCAGCACGGGGGAGGGCCUUCGUGGGUCGAGAGCUCGCUCGGGAGAUAGUUGGUGCUUUUCUUUCAGGAGAAGAAUCCCUGGCGGAGUCUGACCGUUCUCUGGCGCACAGCCCCGGGGGUGGGCACAGCAGCCGCCCCUGCUGAAGGGACUGACGCCUCCGACGACCAGCAGCCAAGUUAAACGCACUGUUCCGUGAGCAGCUUUGUUGGAGACAGCGCGGUUCACAUUCUCUUCCAACGGAGCCGCUGACUGCGGAGCUGGGAGGGGACGUGACAGAACCCAGCCAUCCAACGUCCCCCCACCCCUCCCCAGCUGGGACCUCCGGCUGCUUCCGGGCUGCGCUGGGUGGCGUCAAGGAGCCGCCCCUCUGGGCCGCGUCCCUCCCUCACGCCCUGCACACUGGCCCUGUGUGGCCGGCGGGGCGCCUAAAAGGGCGGAAGGAUGCAGGGGCGGAGGGGGCUCGGGAUUGCACGCCUAGCUCAGACCCCCCAGCCAGGACCCCUCGCGCUGUUGGACACGCCAGCCUCCCGACCCUGCGGCUCCUACGGGAGGUGACAAGGACCCUGCCAACCUGGCCUGAAUGGCCCAGUUUGAUACAGAUCAGGUUUUCAAUGAAUGAGACCGCGGUGUGGUCUAGGCGGAGGGAUGAGAGGAGGGGAUUCUGCUGGGAUAAGUGGGGGCGGGGUAAGGAGGGGAUUCUUUUCCUGGGCUGAGGAGAACGCAGGGACAAAGUACACAGGGGUAGUUGAGUGAGCAGGUGAGGCCCUAGGCUGGUUCCCCACCUUCUCAGGAUCGGAGCCACUCACUUCCUGGUACUCUCUGCAGUCUCCUGGCGUUAAAUAACAUCCCUUUGCUGGAGACUCUGGAUUCACAUCCAUAAUCGCAGCCUCCCCUACUCAUCCCCUCACGCUUCCCAUGAACUAACCUUGAAGGACCCGACCAGAGCCCUGACCUCCGUCCCACACACCUGCUACAUGGAAGGUGUUCUCCACAUCAGUUCAAGGCAGUGUCACUCUUCAGGAUGUUCAGGCUCUAAACCUUGGACUCCUCCUCCAGAUUUCUCUCUCCUUCCUUCUCCUUGUCUCUCCCUUGCACUUACGGUUCACUUUUCCUUCGUAGCUUUGUAGCUCAUUCCCCCUUCCACUUUCCACACCACCUUCUGGUCUGUUAAUUAAAUAUUACCUGGUUUCCACUGACACCUUCCCUGGGUUCCCAAUUGAAAAUCACAACAUCAUCCUCCUCCUCUGCUUUUUUUCUCCAAAUUAUAUCCUCACCCAAUUAUGUGUUAUUCUCAUUAAUCUUGCUUAAUUAAUUAGCAGACAUUAUUAAUGCCUGUUUCCCCUAUCACCACCACUAGACUAUGAACUCCUAAGGACUCCUUCCUUCCACCACUGUUGUACUCGCUUCACCUAGAACUGCUUGGCACAUACAAUGUGCUCCAUAAAUAUUUGUUGAAUGAAAGACUAGACACAACUUAGGAUUCACUCCCCCAUGUGGCAUCCAUAAGCCCUGUAUGCAGGUAAAAUGUCAGUGGGUUGACUAAAUACUGGAAGUGGAAAAAACUUCACCUCUUUGGUUUGCAGUUGUCUAGGAUAUUUAGGCCAAUGGAAAAUCCAGUUUUCCUUAGAAUUAAGCCAGUGCCGCCAGACUUGCCAGUUUACCAUGCUUGUCUGACUGGUCCUCAGCAUGGGUCAUACGUGUCCAAUGAAUUCAAACAAAAUCUUGAGAAGACACGAACCUUGCCCUUCGGCUGGGCGCGGUGGCUCACGCCUGUAAUCCCAGCACUUUGGGAGGCCGAGGCAGGCGGAUCACGAGGUCAGGAGAUCGAGACCAUCCUGGCUAACAUGGUGAAACCCCGUCUCUACUAAAAAUACAAAAAAUUAGCCGAGCGUGGUGGCGGGCGCCUGUAGUCCCAGCUACUCAGGAGGCUGAGGCAGGAGAAUGGCGUGAACCCGGGAGGCGGAGCUUGCAGUGAGUGAGCCGAGAUCGCACCCCUGCACUCCAGCCUGGGCGACAGAGCGAGACUCCGUAAAAAAACAAAAAAAAAACCUUGCCCUUCAUUCCCCAUUUCUAUCAUAAUCUACACAGAGUUUUGAACAGGCAUUUUAAAAUCAACAAUAUAUUAUUUACAAUUUUGUUAGUAUACAUAACUCUAACUCACUGUUAAAAAUCACCUGUCUUUAUAUCCAUUAAAUGACACUUGCAUAUGCUCCAA
rnacentral:lncRNA from 1 species